rnacentral:rRNA from 1 species
UACAGAGGGUGCGAGCGUUAAUCGGAAUUACUGGGCGUAAAGCGUGCGUAGACGGUUAUUUAAGUCGGGUGUGAAAGCCCCGGGCUCAACCUGAGAAUUGCAUUCGAGACUGAAUAGCUAGGGUGCGGAAGAGGGAAGCGGAAUUUCCGGUGUAGCGGUGAAAUGCGUAGAUAUCGGAAGGAACACCAGUGGCGAAAGCGGCUUCCUGGUCCAGCACCGACGUCAGGCACGAAAGCGUGGGGAGCAAACAGG